rnacentral:lncRNA from 1 species
UGAUACGGGGUUGCGCGCGGACCAAGAUCGAGUUGCCAAGUCACGAGAAACUCCUACGAAAACCCUAAACAAUUAGAUUUGAAACGAAACAGAAAAUUAAAAGAUUAGAUUUUUGAAUUUUCAGAUCUGAAAUAAAAUCCCCAAAACAGUAAAGAAUCAAAUAGAGAAUAGAAAUAAGUGUUAAUAAGGAAUCUUGAAACCCUAGAAGAGAUUGCGAUUCUGCCCAAUUGAACACCCAGAUAGUUUUCCCGAAAUUUCGGCAAUCUAAUUUCUCCCAAAAAGAGUAUGGAUGAAUCGGCAAGAACCCUAGAAAUUGGGGAUUUUUGGGCUGAUUCCUUAAGAUAGAAAAAGGCUGAAAACACAAUAAGAACAGAAAAUAGAUUAGAUAAUGAUUCAGCACAAGUAGAAAUAAAGAAAGAAUUGACAGUAAGAAAUUAAAAGAUAAGUCCUAAGAAGCCUUGAAAUCUCGAAAGAUCUCACAACUCCCUUCAAACGGCUCUAAUCUCCCCUCCAAAGAAUAUCAAUGGCAAGAAGAAGGUUGAAGAUGGC